rnacentral:lncRNA from 1 species
AUAAGAGCAAGAAUUCCCAACCCAGGCACCCCGCUGUGAAUCCAAGGCCAGCUCUAGCUCCGCGCACCUGUGCUCGGCGCCCCCUGGACCCUCGGCCCAAUGCCACCUCGAGUCCACGAGAGUCUCCCCCGGCCUGGAGUAGUCCGGUUCCCGCCAGCUCCUUCUCCCCGCCCUCUCCUGGGCCGCUACGGCAGCGCCCGCUGACCCCGCUUCCCUCCUCCUUUCCUCCGCUCCCUAGGUGGAGCUUGAAGGAAACCCCAUCGCGGGCAGAGUGAGGACGGGCUUCUAAGGUGACUGGCCACCCUGCAGCGCGAGUGCCCAGGGGGAAAGGCCAGGCUGUCCCGGGACGGGGCUCGACGCAGGUGAAGAAAUGGAGACACAGAGAGGUUAAGUAACUUGCCCAUGUGCACACAGCUAGUGACAAAUGGCAUUAGAAAACAGAUUCUUUGCCUGCCAAAGAGUGACGGUGCAGAUCACUUCCCUCUGGGAUCUUCAUGGGAGAAAGAUAUUAACUUUAGGGUUGUUAUGAGACCCACUUGAAAUAAUCAGGUAAAACUCUUGGCCCACAGCAACCCCACCAUGUCCUCAUCUAGACACUGUUAAAUAGGCAACUAGACACCUUCAUCUUCUUCACCAUGCUUCUUGCCAUCUCUCCAGAGGCUUCUAUUAGAUCACAAGUGGGUUCGAGAGUGAGGCACAUCAGCGGGGCCAUACAAUGAGGAUGAGAUGAACUUUUGGGCCAGAUAGGGAGGCUUCUGGGAACAAGAAGGCUGGGCCUGAGGACAUAACUGACAGAGGAGCUUAACUCAGGUGGGGUGUGUCUGAUGCAGGGUCCUCCAAGCAAAGCAGCCCUGGCACCAUGCACCAUGCACCAUGCACCAUGCAGGGCAGCAGGGAGACUAAGCUCAAGAAGAAGACAGUGUAGGAAGAGCCAGGAAGGAGUCCAGAUUCCAACAGUCCUUGUGAAAAAACUAGAGCAGGGGUUGACAAACUAUAGC